rnacentral:rRNA from 1 species
GAUUAACGCUGGCGGCGUGCCUUAUGCAUGCAAGUCGAACGGUCUUGAUUUAUCAAGAUAGUGGCAAACGGGUGAGUAACGCGUAAGUAACCUACCCUCAAGUAAGGGAUAGCUCUGAGAAAUUAGAGGUAAUACCUUAUGUGGCGGUGCCGGUAAUGCGGCAUCAUUAAAGCCUUCGGGCGCUUGGGGAUGGGCUUGCGUCCGAUUAGCUAGUUGGUGGGUAACGGCUCACCAAGGUAAUGAUCGGUAGCUGGUCUGAGAGGAUGAUCAGCCACAUUGGGACUGAGACACGGCCCAAACUCCUACGGGAGGCUG